UGGGGAAUCUUGGACAAUGGGGGCAACCCUGAUCCAGCCAUGCCGCGUGAGUGAUGAAGGCCUUAGGGUCGUAAAGCUCUUUCGCCUGUGAAGAUAAUGACGGUAGCAGGUAAAGAAACCCCGGCUAACUCCGUGCCAGCAGCCGCGGUAAUACGGAGGGGGUUAGCGUUGUUCGGAAUUACUGGGCGUAAAGCGCACGUAGGCGGAUCGGAAAGUUGGGGGUGAAAUCCCGGGGCUCAACCCCGGAACUGCCUCCAAAACUAUCGGUCUAGAGUUCGAGAGAGGUGAGUGGAAUUCCGAGUGUAGAGGUGAAAUUCGUAGAUAUUCGGAGGAACACCAGUGGCGAAGGCGGCUCACUGGCUCGAUACUGACGCUGAGGUGCGAAAGUGUGGGGAGCAAACAGGAUUAGAUACCCCCGUAGUCC
rnacentral:rRNA from 1 species